UACAAGCGUAAGCUUAAAACCUAAAGGACUUGACGGUGUCCCAUCCACCUAGAGGAGCCUGUUCUAUAAUCGAUGAUCCACGAUAUACCCUACCAUUUUUUGCCAUUCAGCCUGUAUACCUCCGUCGACAACCCACCAUUUGAAUGAUAAGAAGUGAGUUUAAUGGUCUCAUACACCAAUACGUCAGGUCAAGGUGCAGCCUACAAAAUGGAAAGCAAUUGGCUACAAUUUCUAACAUAGAACAAACGAAAUACUACAUGAAACACAGUCAUGAAGGCGGAUUUAGUAGUAAAAGAAAAUAGUUAAUUUUUUUUAAUAUGGCCCUGGGACGUGUACAAACCGCCCGUCACCCUCUUCACCAGCUUCCUACUUAUUUAUUAAUACCUAAUUAGCACUACAGAAGGGGCAAGUCGUAACAUGGUAAGUGUACUGGAAAGUGCACUUGGCUAAACAAAGUGUAGCUUAACUAAAGCCUCUUGCUUACACCAAAAAAAUAUCUAUUAAACCUAGAUCACUUUGAGCCCAAAAUCUAGCCUAUAAAUCCUGUAUAUAAACCCAUAUCAUUUAAAACACACUAAAACAUUUUAAUAGUUUAGUAAAGGCGAU
rnacentral:rRNA from 1 species